rnacentral:rRNA from 1 species
AUGAACGCUGGCGGCGUGCCUAAUACAUGCAAGUCGAGCGAACAGACGAGGAGCUUGCUCCUCUGACGUUAGCGGCGGACGGGUGAGUAACACGUGGAUAACCUACCUAUAAGACUGGGAUAACUUCGGGAAACCGGAGCUAAUACCGGAUAAUAUAUUGAACCGCAUGGUUCAAUAGUGAAAGACGGUUUUGCUGUCACUUAUAGAUGGAUCCGCGCCGCAUUAGCUAGUUGGUAAGGUAACGGCUUACCAAGGCAACGAUGCGUAGCCGACCUGAGAGGGUGAUCGGCCACACUGGAACUGAGACACGGUCCAGACUCCUACGGGAGGCAGCAGUAGGGAAUCUUCCGCAAUGGGCGAAAGCUUGACGGAGCAACGCCGCGUGAGUGAUGAAGGUCUUCGGAUCGUAAAACUCUGUUAUUAGGGAAGAACAAAUGUGUAAGUAACUAUGCACGUCUUGACGGUACCUAAACAGAAAGCCACGGCUAACUACGUG